rnacentral:rRNA from 1 species
AUUGAACGCUGGCGGCAGGCCUAACACAUGCAAGUCGAGCGAGCGGCGGACGGGUGAGUAAUGUAUGGGGAUCUGCCUGAUGGAGGGGGAUAACUACUGGAAACUGUAGCUACUACCGCAUACCAUCAGAUGAACCCAAAUGGGAUUAGCUAGUAGGGGAGGUAACGGCUUACCUAGGCGACGAUCCCUAGCUGGUCUGAGAGGAUGAUCAGACACACUGGGACUGAGACACGGCCCAGACGCCGACGGGAGGCAGCAGUGGGGAAUAUUGAACAAUGGGCGAAAGCCUGAUGCAGCCAUGCCGCGUGUAUGAAGAAGGCCUUCGGGUUGUAAAGUACUUUCAGUCGGGAAGCGUUACCGACAGAAGAAGCACCGGCUAACUCCGUGCCAGCAGCCGCGGUAAUUC